rnacentral:rRNA from 1 species
AUGCACGCUGGCGGCGUGCCUAAUACAUGCAAGUCGAGCGAACAGACGAGGAGCUUGCUCCUCUGACGUUAGCGGCGGACGGGUGAGUAACACGUGGAUAACCUACCUAUAAGACUGGGAUAACUUCGGGAAACCGGAGCUAAUACCGGAUAAUAUAUUGAACCGCAUGGUUCAAUAGUGAAAGACGGUUUUGCUGUCACUUAUAGAUGGAUCCGCGCCGCAUUAGCUAGUUGGUAAGGUAACGGCUUACCAAGGCAACGAUGCGUAGCCGACCUGAGAGGGUGAUCGGCCACACUGGAACUGAGACACGGUCCAGACUCCUACGGGAGGCAGCAGUAGGGAAUCUUCCGCAAUGGGCGAAAGCCUGACGGAGCAACGCCGCGUGAAUGAUGAAGGUCUUCGGAUCGUAAAACUCUGUUAUUAGGGAAGAACAAAUGUGUAAGUAACUAUGCACGUCUUGACGGUACCUAAUCAGAAAGCCACGGCUAACUACGUG